rnacentral:rRNA from 1 species
UGAAGUAGGUGAACAAGCUGGAAAGCUUGGCGAUACAGGGUGAUAGCCCCGUAACCGACGCUUCAUCGAGCGUGAAAUCGAGUAGGGCGGGACACGUGAUAUCCUGUCUGAAUAUGGGGGGACCAUCCUCCAAGGCUAAAUACUCCUGACUGACCGAUAGUGAACCAGUACCGUGAGGGAAAGGCGAAAAGAACCCCUGUGAGGGGAGUGAAAUAGAACCUGAAACCGUGUACGUACAAGCAGUAGGAGCACCUUCGUGGUGUGACUGCGUACCUUUUGUAUAAUGGGUCAGCGACUUAUAUUCAGUGGCAAGGUUAACCGUAUAGGGGAGCCGUAGCGAAAGCGAGUCUUAACUGGGCGCUCAGUCUCUGGAUAUAGACCCGAAACCGGGUGAUCUAGCCAUGGGCAGGUUGAAGGUUGAGUAACAUCAACUGGAGGACCGAACCGACUAAUGUUGAAAAAUUAGCGGAUGACUUGUGGCUAGGGGUGAAAGGCCAAUCAAACUCGGAGAUAGCUGGUUCUCCCCGAAAGCUAUUUAGGUAGCGCCUCGGACGAAUACUACUGGGGGUAGAGCACUGUUAAGGCUAGGGGGUCAUCCCGACUUACCAACCCUUUGCAAACUCCGAAUACCAGUAAGUACUAUCCGGGAGACACACGGCGGGUGCUAACGUCCGUCGUGGAGAGGGAAACAACCCAGACCGCCAGCUAAGGUCCCAAAGUAUUGCUAAGUGGGAAACGAUGUGGGAAGGCUCAGACAGCUAGGAUGUUGGCUUAGAAGCAGCCAUCAUUUAAAGAAAGCGUAAUAGCUCACUAGUCGAGUCGGCCUGCGCGGAAGAUGUAACGGGGCUAAGCAAUACACCGAAGCUGCGGCAAUAUCUUUUAGAUAUUGGGUAGGGGAGCGUUCUGUAAGCCGUUGAAGGUGAAUCGUAAGGUUUGCUGGAGGUAUCAGAAGUGCGAAUGCUGACAUGAGUAACGACAAAGGGGGUGAAAAACCUCCUCGCCGGAAGACCAAGGGUUCCUGUCCAACGUUAAUCGGGGCAGGGUGAGUCGACCCCUAAGGUGAGGCCGAAAGGCGUAAUCGAUGGGAAACGGGUUAAUAUUCCCGUACUUCUGACUAUUGCGAUGGGGGGACGGAGAAGGCUAGGUGGGCCAGGCGACGGUUGUCCUGGUUCAAGUGCGUAGGCUUGAGAGUUAGGUAAAUCCGGCUCUCUCUAAGGCUGAGACACGACGUCGAGCUGCUACGGCAGUGAAGUCAUUGAUGCCAUGCUUCCAGGAAAAGCCUCUAAGCUUCAGAUAGUCAGGAAUCGUACCCCAAACCGACACAGGUGGUCGGGUAGAGAAUACCAAGGCGCUUGAGAGAACUCGGGUGAAGGAACUAGGCAAAAUGGUACCGUAACUUCGGGAGAAGGUACGCUCUUGAUGGUGAAGUCCCUCGCGGAUGGAGCUGACGAGAGUCGCAGAUACCAGGUGGCUGCAACUGUUUAUUAAAAACACAGCACUGUGCAAAAUCGCAAGAUGACGUAUACGGUGUGACGCCUGCCCGGUGCCGGAAGGUUAAUUGAUGGGGUUAGCGCAAGCGAAGCUCUUGAUCGAAGCCCCGGUAAACGGCGGCCGUAACUAUAACGGUCCUAAGGUAGCGAAAUUCCUUGUCGGGUAAGUUCCGACCUGCACGAAUGGCGUAAUGAUGGCCACGCUGUCUCCACCCGAGACUCAGUGAAAUUGAAAUCGCUGUGAAGAUGCAGUGUACCCGCGGCUAGACGGAAAGACCCCGUGAACCUUUACUACAGCUUGGCACUGAACAUUGAACCUACAUGUGUAGGAUAGGUGGGAGGCUAUGAAGACGUGACGCCAGUUGCGUUGGAGCCGUCCUUGAAAUACCACCCUUGUAUGUUUGAUGUUCUAACUUAGACCCAUUAUCUGGGUUGAGGACAGUGCCUGGUGGGUAGUUUGACUGGGGCGGUCUCCUCCCAAAGAGUAACGGAGGAGCACGAAGGUGGGCUAAUCACGGUUGGACAUCGUGAGGUUAGUGCAAUGGCAUAAGCCCGCUUAACUGCGAGAAUGACGGUUCGAGCAGGUGCGAAAGCAGGUCAUAGUGAUCCGGUGGUUCUGUAUGGAAGGGCCAUCGCUCAACGGAUAAAAGGUACUCCGGGGAUAACAGGCUGAUACCGCCCAAGAGUUCAUAUCGACGGCGGUGUUUGGCACCUCGAUGUCGGCUCAUCACAUCCUGGGGCUGAAGUCGGUCCCAAGGGUAUGGCUGUUCGCCAUUUAAAGUGGUACGCGAGCUGGGUUUAGAACGUCGUGAGACAGUUCGGUCCCUAUCUGCCGUGGGCGUUGGAAGAUUGAAGGGGGCUGCUCCUAGUACGAGAGGACCGGAGUGGACGAACCUCUGGUGUUCGGGUUGUGUCGCCAGACGCAUUGCCCGGUAGCUAAGUUCGGAAUUGAUAAGCGCUGAAAGCAUCUAAGCGCGAAGCGAGCCCUGAGAUGAGUCUUCCCUGA